CCUACGGGAGGCAGCAGUGAGGGAUAUUGGUCAAUGGACGGAAGUCUGAACCAGCCAUGCCGCGUGCAGGAAGACGGCUCUAUGAGUUGUAAACUGCUUUUGUACAAGGGUAAACCUGCAUACGUGUAGUCGGAUGCAAGGACUGUAUGAAUAAGGAUCGGCUAACUCCGUGCCAGCAGCCGCGGUAAUACGGAGGAUCCAGGCGUUAUACGGAUUUAUUGGGUUUAAAGGGUGCGUAGGCCGAUUGUCAAGUUUGAGGUGAAAUGUCCGAGCUUAACUCGGGAACUGCAUCGAAUACGGUUGCUCUAGAGAGUAGAAGCGGCAGGCGGAAUGUAUGGUGUAGCGGUGAAAUGCUUAGAGAUCAUACAGAACACCGAUUGCGAAGGCAGCUUACCAAGCUAUAUCUGACGUUGAGGCACGAAAGCGUGGGGAGCAAACAGGAUUAGAUACCCUGGUAGUC
rnacentral:rRNA from 1 species